rnacentral:snoRNA from 1 species
UCUGCACAACAAAAGAAACCACCAUCACCAUUAGGUGGCAGAGAGCAGAGGCUCGCCUACGCCCAGUGUCCUGGCUGUGGGUGCCUGGAUGGUUGAUGGCCUGACACG